rnacentral:misc_RNA from 1 species
UACGUAGGGGGCGAGCGUUGUCCGGAUUUAUUGGGCGUAAAGAGCUCGUAGGCGGCUCAGUAAGUCGGCUGUGAAAGUCCGAGGCUCAACCUCGGAACUGCAGUCGAUACUGCUGUGGCUAGAGUCAGGUAGAGGAGAAUGGAAUUCCCGGUGUAGCGGUGGAAUGCGCAGAUAUCGGGAGGAACACCAGUAGCGAAGGCGGUUCUCUGGGCCUGUACUGACGCUGAGGAGCGAAAGCGUGGGGAGCAAACAGG